ensembl:lncRNA
CAACAGCACAGGUACGCAUGAGACACACCUUCUCCAACAGCACAGGUACGCAUGAGACACACUGUAACACACAGCACAGGUACGCAUGAGACACACACUAACACAGCACAGGUACACAUGAGACACACUCUAAUGCACAGGUACGCAUGAGACACACUCUAACACACAGCACAGGCACGCAUGAGACACACACUAACACACAGCACAGGUACGCAUGAGACACACACUAACACACAGCACAGGUACGCAUGAGACACACACUAACACACAGCACAGGUACGCAUGAGACACACACUAACACACAGCACAGGUACGCAUGAGACACACACUAACACACAGCACAGGUACGCAUGAGACACACACUAACACACAGCACAGGUACGCAUGAGACACACU